AGCGAACGCUGGCGGCAGGCCUAACACAUGCAAGUCGAACGAACUCUUCGGAGUUAGUGGCGGACGGGUGAGUAACACGUGGGAACGUGCCUUUAGGUUCGGAAUAACUCAGGGAAACUUGUGCUAAUACCGAAUGUGCCCUUCGGGGGAAAGAUUUAUCGCCUUUAGAGCGGCCCGCGUCUGAUUAGCUAGUUGGUGAGGUAAAGGCUCACCAAGGCGACGAUCAGUAGCUGGUCUGAGAGGAUGAUCAGCCACAUUGGGACUGAGAUACGGCCCAAACUCCUACGGGAGGCAGCAGUGGGGAAUCUUGCGCAAUGGGCGAAAGCCUGACGCAGCCAUGCCGCGUGAAUGAUGAAGGUCUUAGGAUUGUAAAAUUCUUUCACCGGGGACGAUAAUGACGGUACCCGGAGAAGAAGCCCCGGCUAACUUCGUG
rnacentral:rRNA from 1 species